GAUGAACGCUGGCGGCGUGCCUAACACAUGCAAGUCGAACGAAGCACUUUAACUUGAUUUCUUCGGAAUGAAGGUUCCUGUGACUGAGUGGCGGACGGGUGAGUAACGCGUGGGUAACCUGCCUCAUACAGGGGGAGUAACAGUUGGAAACGACUGCUAAUACCGCAUAAGCGCACAGCAUCGCAUGAUGCAGUGUGAAAAACUACCGGUGGUAUGAGAUGGACCCGCGUCUGAUUAGCUAGUUGGUGAGGUAACGGCCCACCAAGGCGACGAUCAGUAGCCGGCCUGAGAGGGUGAACGG
rnacentral:rRNA from 1 species